rnacentral:hammerhead_ribozyme from 1 species
GUCCAGCUGACGAGUCCCAAAUAGGACGAAUAGUUGUAACCUAUAU